rnacentral:rRNA from 1 species
GAUCCUGGCUUAGGAUGAACGCUAGCUACAGGCUUAACACAUGCAAGUCGAGGGGCAGCAGAUCGAAAGCUUGCUUUGAUGCUGGCGACCGGCGCACGGGUGAGUAACGCGUAUCCAACCUUCCCUAUAGUAGAGAAUAGCCCGGCGAAAGUCGGAUUAAUGCUCUAUGUUGUAUUUAGAGGACAUCUGAAGAAUACCAAAGGUUUACCGCUAUAGGAUGGGGGAUGCGUCUGAUUAGGUUGUUGGCGGGGUAACGGCCCACCAAGCCUACGAUCAGUAGGGGUUCUGAGAGGAAGGUCCCCCACAUUGGAACUGAGACACGGUCCAAACUCCUACGGGAGGCAGCAGUGAGGAAUAUUGGUCAAUGGACGAAAGUCUGAACCAGCCAAGUAGCGUGCCAGGAUGACGGCCCUAUGGGUUGUAAACUGCUUUUAUACAGGGAUAAAGUGAGGGACGUGUCCCUUUUUGUAGGUACUGUAUGAAUAAGGACCGGCUAAUUCCGUGCCAGCAGCUGC